rnacentral:rRNA from 1 species
AUCUGAGAGUUUGAUCCUGGCUCAGAAUCAACGCUGGCGGCGUGCCUAACACAUGCAAGUCGAACGAGAAAGGGAUCCUUCGGGAACCUGAGUAAAGUGGCGAACGGGUGAGUAGCACGUGGGUGACCUGCCCUCUGGAGGGGGAUAACCCGAGGAAACUCGGGCUAAGACCGCAUAAGCCUUUGACGUCAAACUCAAAGGGAAAAGGAUAUAGCUUUCGAGUUAGAUCCUACCGGAGGAGGGGCCCGCGUCCCAUUAGCUAGUUGGUGGGGUAAAAGCCUACCAAGGCUACGAUGGGUAGCCGGUCUGAGAGGACGGACGGCCACACUGGAACUGAGACACGGUCCAGACUCCUACGGGAGGCAG